rnacentral:rRNA from 1 species
AGUGGCGGACGGGUGAGUAACGCGUGGGUAGCUGUCUAGUAGAGGGGGACAACUCGGGGAAACUCGAGCUAAGACCGCAUAAUACCUGAGGGUUAAAAGAGGCUUCUGUUUACAUGCUUCUGCUACUAGGGGUGCCUGCGUCCGAUUAGCUAGUUGGUGGGGUAAAGGCCUACCAAGGCGACGAUCGGUAGCUGGUUUGAGAGGACGAACAGCCACACUGGGACUGAGACACGGCCCAGACUCCUACGGGAGGCAGCAGUGGGGAAUAUUGGACAAUGGGGGAAACCCUGAUCCAGCAAUGCCGCGUGUGUGAAGAAGGCCUGCGGGUUGUAAAGCACUUUUGUAGGUGAGGAAGUGAGUUUAGUGAAUAGCUAGAUUUAUUGACGUUAGCCUAAGAAUAAGCACCGGCUAACUCCGUGCCAGCAGCCGCGGUAAUACGGAGGGUGCGAGCGUUAAUCGGAAUGACUGGGCAUAAAGGGCGCGUAGGCGGGUGAUUAAGUUAGAUGUUAAAGGCGUGGGCUUAACCUACGAUGUGCAUUUAAUACUGGUUAUCUUGAGUGCGAGAGAGGAGGGUAGAAUUCCUGGUGUAGCGGUGAAAUGCGUAGAUAUCAGGAGGAAUACCGGUGGCGAAGGCGGCCCUCUGGCUUGACACUGACGCUGAGGCGCGAAAGCGUGGGGAGCGAACAGGAUUAGAUACCCUGGUAGUCCAUGCUGUAAACGAUGAGGACUAGC